rnacentral:rRNA from 1 species
UACAGAGGGUGCAAGCGUUAAUCGGAAUUACUGGGCGUAAAGCGUGCGCAGACGGUUGCGUAAGUCAGAUGUGAAAGCCCCGGGCUCAACCUGGGAAUUGCAUUUGAGACUGCGUAGCUAGGGUGCGGAAGAGGGAAGCGGAAUUUCCGGUGUAGCGGUGAAAUGCGUAGAUAUACGGAAGGAACACCAGUGGCGAAAGCGGCUUCCUGGUCCAGCACCGACGUCAGGCACGAAAGCGUGGGGAGCAAACAGG